UACGGAGGAUGCGAGCGUUAUCCGGAUUUAUUGGGUUUAAAGGGUGCGUAGGCGGAUUUUUAAGUCAGCGGUAAAAUUGAGAGGCUCAACCUCUUCCCGCCGUUGAAACUGGUGGUCUUGAGUGGAUGAGAAGUACGCGGAAUGCGUGGUGUAGCGGUGAAAUGCAUAGAUAUCACGCAGAACUCCGAUUGCGAAGGCAGCGUACCGGCACCCAACUGACGCUGAGGCACGAAAGCGUGGGGAUCAAACAGG
rnacentral:rRNA from 1 species